GACGAACGCGGCGGCGUGCCUAAUACAUGCAAGUAGAACGCUGAAGGAGGAGCUUGCUUCUCUGGAUGAGUUGCGAACGGGUGAGUAACGCGUAGGUAACCUACCUGGUAGCGGGGGAUAACUAUUGGAAACGAUAGCUAAUACCGCAUAAGAGUAGAUGUCGCAUGACAUUUGCUUAAAAGGUGCAAUUGCAUCACUACCAGAUGGACCUGCGUUGUAUUAGCUAGUUGGUGAGGUAACGGCUCACCAAGGCAACGAUACAUAGCCGACCUGAGAGGGUGAUCGGCCACACUGGGACUGAGACACGGCCCAGACUCCUACGGGAGGCAGCAGUAGGGAAUCUUCGGCAAUGGACGGAAGUCUGACCGAGCAACGCCGCGUGAGUGAAGAAGGUUUUCGGAUCGUAAAGCUCUGUUGUAAGAGAAGAAACGAGUGUGAGAAGUGGAAAAGUUUCACACUGUGACGG
rnacentral:rRNA from 1 species